rnacentral:sRNA from 1 species
CUUGGUCAUUUAGAGGAAGUAAAAGUCGUAACAAGGUUUCCGUAGGUGAACCUGCGGAAGGAUCAUUACUGCUUGCUUAUGACUUCUGUAUGGGAGACUGUACAGUUGUCGGGCUCGCUACCCUUGUCUAAACAUAACCCUUCGUUAUUUCCCUCGGCGGGGCUGCCUGCCGCUGGGCUUUAUCAAACCUUUUGUUUAAGCAAUAUACUCUGAACUACAUAAUAAUCACAACUUUUAACAAUGGAUCUCUUGGUUCUGGCAUCGAUGAAGAACGCAGCGAAAUGCGAUAAGUAGUGUGAAUUGCAGGCUUUAGUGAAUCAUCGAAUCUUUGAACGCACAUUGCGCCCUUUGGUAUUCCACUGGGCAUGCCUGUUCGAGCGUCAUUUACACUCUCAAGCACUGCUUGGUGUUGGGCGUUUGUCUGCAUUACGUAGACUCACCCUAAAUGUAUUGGCAGCAGCACCUCUAGCUUCUUGCGCAGCACAAUGCGGUAUAAGUAGCUAGUCAUAGGGUUGCAACCAGAAGGAAAAUUUCAGUUUGACCUCGAAUCAGGUAGGGAUACCCGCUGAACUUAAGCAUAUCAAUAAGCGGAGGAAAAGAAACCAACAGGGAUUGCCCUAGUAACGGCGAGUGAAGCGGCAAGAGCUCAAAUUUGAAAUCGGGCUUCUUUGAGGCUCGAGUUGUAAUUUGUAGAGGGUGCUUUGGUGUUGGCAGCGGUCUAAGUUCCUUGGAACAGGACGUCGCAGAGGGUGAGAAUCCCGUAUGUGGUCGCUUGCCUUCGCCGUGUAAAGCCUCUUCAACGAGUCGAGUUGUUUGGGAAU